CGCCCAUCAGCUAGCCCCUCCAACCAAAAAUAACAAACCACUAUCAAUAACCCCAAAUACACUAACUUACAUUAAACAAACCAUUUUUCCCCCCUAGUAUGGGCGACAGAAAAGGGUCUUGAGGAGCGAUAGAGAAAGUACCGCAAGGGAACGCUGAAAGAGAAAUGAAACAACCCAGUAAAGCCUAGAAAAGCAGAGAUUUUAGCUCGUACCUUUUGCAUCAUGAUUUAGCCAGUAAAGACCAAGCAAAGAGUACUUUAGUUUGACUC
rnacentral:rRNA from 1 species